GAGCCAUGAUCCUCGGGGGGUCGCGUUAGGGGAAAACGCGUCUAUGGGGAUAAACUGUCAAAUUCCGGGGAAGUCCUAAAGCUUAAGGUACCAAGCUGUAGUUGAAAAACUAUGAGUGGCUGAAGUAAUUACUCAGGUACGGUAACAAGCCUUAAGAUGAGUGAAAACAAAAUGGAUAAUCGCGGAUCUAAGUCAGUAGUAAUCGAUAGUAAUUCUACUGUAAAAGAGCAACGAGUAGACGGCAGUUGAUCCAUAAAGUCACAUUUAAUGGAUUUAAGAUGUACUCUAAGGGGUUUCGAAAGAAACAG
rfam:Sordaria macrospora k-hell, WGS project CABT02000000 data, contig: 2.1583, organelle: mitochondrion